GGGUUGUGAGGUUAAGCGACUAAGCGUACACGGUGGAUGCCCUGGCAGUCAGAGGCGAUGAAGGACGUGCUAAUCUGCGAAAAGCGUCGGUAAGGUGAUAUGAACCGUUAUAACCGGCGAUGUCCGAAUGGGGAAACCCAGUGUGAUUCGUCACACUAUCGUUAACUGAAUACAUAGGUUAACGAGGCGAACCGGGGGAACUGAAACAUCUAAGUACCCCGAGGAAAAGAAAUCAACCGAGAUUCCCCCAGUAGCGGCGAGCGAACGGGGAGCAGCCCAGAGUCUGAAUCAGCUUGUGUGUUAGUGGAACGGUCUGGAAAGUCCGACGGUACAGGGUGAUAGUCCCGUACACCAAAAUGCACAGGCUGUGAACUCGAAGAGUAGGGCGGGACACGUGGUAUCCUGUCUGAAUAUGGGGGGACCAUCCUCCAAGGCUAAAUACUCCUGACUGACCGAUAGUGAACCAGUACCGUGAGGGAAAGGCGAAAAGAACCCCGGCGAGGGGAGUGAAAAAGAACCUGAAACCGUGUACGUACAAGCAGUGGGAGCACCUUCGGGUGUGACUGCGUACCUUUUGUAUAAUGGGUCAGCGACUUAUAUUCUGUAGCAAGGUUAACCGUAUAGGGGAGCCGCAGGGAAACCGAGUCUUAACUGGGCGUUAAGUUGCAGGGUAUAGACCCGAAACCCGGUGAUCUAGCCAUGGGCAGGUUGAAGGUUGGGUAACACUAACUGGAGGACCGAACCGACUAAUGUUGAAAAAUUAGCGGAUGACUUGUGGCUGGGGGUGAAAGGCCAAUCAAACCGGGAGAUAGCUGGUUCUCCCCGAAAGCUAUUUAGGUAGCGCCUCGUGAAUUCAUCUUCGGGGGUAGAGCACUGUUUCGGCUAGGGGGUCAUCCCGACUUACCAACCCGAUGCAAACUACGAAUACCGAAGAAUGUUAUCACGGGAGACACACGGCGGGUGCUAACGUCCGUCGUGAAGAGGGAAACAACCCAGACCGCCAGCUAAGGUCCCAAAGUCAUGGUUAAGUGGGAAACGAUGUGGGAAGGCACAGACAGCCAGGAUGUUGGCUUAGAAGCAGCCAUCAUUUAAAGAAAGCGUAAUAGCUCACUGGUCGAGUCGGCCUGCGCGGAAGAUGUAACGGGGCUAAACCAUGCACCGAAGCUGCGGCAGCGACACUAUGUGUUGUUGGGUAGGGGAGCGUUCUGUAAGCCUGCGAAGGUGACCUGUGAGGGUUGCUGGAGGUAUCAGAAGUGCGAAUGCUGACAUAAGUAACGAUAAAGCGGGUGAAAAGCCCGCUCGCCGGAAGACCAAGGGUUCCUGUCCAACGUUAAUCGGGGCAGGGUGAGUCGACCCCUAAGGCGAGGCCGAAAGGCGUAGUCGAUGGGAAACAGGUUAAUAUUCCUGUACUUGGUGUUACUGCGAAGGGGGGACGGAGAAGGCUAUGUUAGCCGGGCGACGGUUGUCCCGGUUUAAGCAUGUAGGCUGAUUGUCCAGGCAAAUCCGGAUAAUCAAGGCUGAGGUGUGAUGACGAGGCACUACGGUGCUGAAGUAACAAAUGCCCUGCUUCCAGGAAAAGCCUCUAAGCAUCAGGUAACAUCAAAUCGUACCCCAAACCGACACAGGUGGUCAGGUAGAGAAUACCAAGGCGCUUGAGAGAACUCGGGUGAAGGAACUAGGCAAAAUGGUGCCGUAACUUCGGGAGAAGGCACGCUGGUGUGUAGGUGAAGCCCCUGCGGGUGGAGCUGAGACCAGUCGAAGAUACCAGCUGGCUGCAACUGUUUAUUAAAAACACAGCACUGUGCAAACACGAAAGUGGACGUAUACGGUGUGACGCCUGCCCGGUGCCGGAAGGUUAAUUGAUGGGGUUAUCCGUAAGGAGAAGCUCUUGAUCGAAGCCCCGGUAAACGGCGGCCGUAACUAUAACGGUCCUAAGGUAGCGAAAUUCCUUGUCGGGUAAGUUCCGACCUGCACGAAUGGCGUAAUGAUGGCGGGCUGUCUCCACCCGAGACUCAGUGAAAUUGAACUCGCUGUGAAGAUGCAGUGUACCCGCGGCAAGACGGAAAGACCCGUGAACCUUUACUAUAGCUUGACACUGAACAUUGAGCCUUGAUGUGUAGGAUAGGUGGGAGGCUUUGAAGCGUGGACGCCAGUCUGCGUGGAGCCAACCUUGAAAUACCACCCUUUAAUGUUUGAUGUUCUAACGUUGGCCCCUUACCGGGGUUGCGGACAGUGUCUGGUGGGUAGUUUGACUGGGGCGGUCUCCUCCCAAAGCGUAACGGAGGAGCACGAAGGUUAGCUAAUCCUGGUCGGACAUCAGGAGGUUAGUGCAAUGGCAUAAGCUAGCUUGACUGCGAGCGUGACGGCGCGAGCAGGUGCGAAAGCAGGUCAUAGUGAUCCGGUGGUUCUGAAUGGAAGGGCCAUCGCUCAACGGAUAAAAGGUACUCCGGGGAUAACAGGCUGAUACCGCCCAAGAGUUCAUAUCGACGGCGGUGUUUGGCACCUCGAUGUCGGCUCAUCACAUCCUCGGGGCUGAAGUAGGUCCCAAGGGUAUGGCUGUUCGCCAUUUAAAGUGGUACGCGAGCUGGGUUUAGAACGUCGUGAGACAGUUCGGUCCCUAUCUGCCGUGGGCGCUGGAGAAUUGAGGGGGGCUGCUCCUAGUACGAGAGGACCGGAGUGGACGCAUCACUGGUGUUCGGGUUGUCAUGCCAAUGGCACUGCCCGGUAGCUAAAUGCGGAAGAGAUAAGUGCUGAAAGCAUCUAAGCACGAAACUUGCCCCGAGAUGAGUUCUCCCUGAGACUUUAAGUCUCCUGAAGGAACGUUGAAGACGACGACGUUGAUAGGCCGGGUGUGUAAGCGCAGCGAUGCGUUGAGCUAACCGGUACUAAUGAACCGUGAGGCUUAACCUUACAACGCCGAAG
rnacentral:rRNA from 1 species